rnacentral:rRNA from 1 species
UACGAGGGGGGCGAGCGUUGUUCGGAAUUAUUGGGCGUAAAGGGCGCGUAGGCGGCUAGAUGUGUCAAAGGUGAAAUCCCUCGGCUCAACUGAGGAACUGCCUUUGAAACUGUCUGGCUUGAGGCCGGGAGAGGGUAGCGGAAUUCCCAGUGUAGCGGUGAAAUGCGUAGAUAUUGGGAGGAACACCAGUGGCGAAGGCGGCUACCUGGACCGGUUCUGACGCUGAGGCGCGAAAGCGUGGGUAGCAAACAGG